CCGCCGCCGCCGCCACCUCCGCCUCGCCUCCCUCCCGAGAUCCCGCCGCCGCCGCCGCCACCUCCGCCUCGCCUCCCUCCCUCCCCAUCCCGAGAUCCCGCUCCCUCCGGCAACAAGGAAGCUGACGUCUCGAGCUCCAGUCAGUCCGCCCCCUGGCCCAUCAGAUCCAAUUCCUUCCCCGACCCCCAUCCCGGAUCCGCCGCAAUUCCUUAGCGUCUCGAGCUCGAUUGCUCCCUGUCCGUGGAAUUUGCUCCUUUUUCCCGCAAGAAUCCUGCCUUGGCUGGCGACUUAGAGGUGGGCGCUUGCGAAGGUGGGGCGGCGGCUCUGCUGGCGUCUACUCAGGGUCGUCCGCCGCAUACUCAGGGUCGUCAGGCUCAAUCCGCUGCAGCGCAGCGCCAAGAGCCGUUGAGUUUUUGAUGUGCAGGUAAUUCCUCGUGAACACAUUUAGCUUAGGAAGUUACUAUUGGCUGCUCAUUCAGCUGAGCAGAUCGAGCUAUCCAUUUAGCUCGACACAGUGAAGAGACGCAUUGCGCUUACGCAUUUUGCGUUAGCUCUUGAACAUCCGUUUGGUGUGCUGCGCUGUGAAGGUCACAGAAUCCACUCUUGACAAGUGUGGCACUACAAGACCUGGCUGCAGCCAUGAGGAUCAAGUUUGAAAAGUAUUGGGGUAGAGAUUUUGAUGAGUCAAACCAGCCUAUUCCUCGCAGAAAUAAAAAGGAUUAUGAUGUCAACCUUGGAAUUGUUAUUGCAACAAUGUUAGAUCCGAGGGGAAAAGCAGAAUAUGCAGAGUUCUUCUACCAGAAGAUUUGUAGCAAUAUAGAUCAGAUUGAUUCAAGUGUUGAUGCUGCUCUAGUUUGGAUGAAAAAAUACUUCCUGGAGUAUGAGCAACGCUUGAGGAGAGUUAAUGCAUACUCUGUUACAUAUUCAAGUGAGGGCAGCAUUUGUGUGGGCUCACCGGUGCUUGCGAAAAGGCAGCUAGGAUCAGAAUUUGCAAACUUCAAGUCAAGUCGAAGAAAGACUCGUCCACCAAAAUCUGAAUUUGACAUCUACUUUGAAGAAGAUUGUGUGGAAGACAUUGAAAACUUUGACAUUUUGGCUUGGUGGAAGGCACAUGCUGAGAAGUUCCCGAUCUUAUCAGUUAUGGCACGUGAUUUCCUCGCCAUUCCUCUUAGUACCGUUUCUUCCGAAUCAGCCUUUAGUCUUGGAGGUAGGAUUCUUGGGGAGUCAAGAAGCUCACUAACUCCAGAGAUGUUAGAAGCCCUUGUGUGUGGGAAAGACUGGUUAUUCAAGGAAAAAGAUGCAGACAAUGAAGGUCAACAAAUUAGUGAAGAUCAGACUAGUGAAAUGGUCAUCUUUGCCACUCCAUCAGACUAGUGAAAUGGACUGAAUUCUUGGAUGCUGUUGCAUAGAGCUAUUUUUUGUUGGUGGUAACAGCCAAAAUGGAGGAAGUUCUUGGCUCAUGUGGGACCUGGAGCUCUUGUGGCCAUUGGCUUCCUGGAUCCUAGCAACUGUGCAGGAGCAAAGUGAGAAUGACAUGGACAAGCAAAGUCCAGAAGAACCAGAAACUGGUGGCCAACAAAAGAUAACGCAACUCGCUGAGCUCCUGUGAGGAGAUAAGCAUCAGGGUUGGACGAUGGCAACAACCAGGGUCUGGUCGGCAGUUGGGUCAUCGUCUCGUCUCUCCAGCUAGGGAGCAACCAAGCACAAGCAAGCGUGAACAACCUAUAUAUAUAUAUAUGUAACAUAGAUCUUUGCAACUUGUUUGACUACUAGUAGCUAUCUAAUGGGUUCUUAUUGGGUUGUAACCAUAUUUGGCAAGCAGUUUGUAUAACUUAUGCACUGAAAAGUUUGGGGUGGUAUGGUGUGUGAAGGUGGAAGUUUGAUUUGGGGUGAGUUAAAUUUAUAUAUUUGUGAGAA